CGCGUAGGCGGACAGUUUAGUCAGAGGUGAAAGCCCAGGGCUCAACCUUGGAAUUGCCUUUGAUACUGACUAUCUUGAGUUCGGGAGAGGUGAGUGGAAUGCCGAGUGUAGAGGUGAAAUUCGUAGAUAUUCGGCGGAACACCAGUGGCGAAGGCGACUCACUGGCCCGAUACUGACGCUGAGGCGCGAAAGCGUGGGGAGCAAACA
rnacentral:rRNA from 1 species